rnacentral:rRNA from 1 species
GUGGAUUAGAUACCCUGGUAGUCCACGCCCUAAACGAUGUCAACUAGGUGUUGGGGAAGCGAUUUCCUAGUACCGCAGCUAACGCGUGAAGUUGACCGCCUGGGGAGUACGGUCGCAAGAUUAAAACUCAAAGGAAUUGACGGGGACCCGCACAAGCGGUGGAUGAUGUGGAUUAAUUCGAUGCAACGCGAAAAACCUUACCUACCCUUGACAUGUACGGAAGCCUUCAGAAAUGAGGGUGUGCUCGAAAGAGAGCCGUAACACAGGUGCUGCACGGCCGUCGCCAACU